rnacentral:rRNA from 1 species
UACGAAGGUGGCAAGCGUUGUUCGGAUUUACUGGGCGUACAGGGUGCGUAGGCGGUUGGAUAAGCCCUCCGUGAAAUCUCCAGGCUUAACCUGGAAAGUGCAGAGGGGACUGUUCAGCUAGAGGAUGGGAGAGGAGCGCGGAAUUCCCGGUGUAGCGGUGAAAUGCGUAGAGAUCGGGAGGAAGGCCGGCGGCGAAGGCGGCGCUCUGGAACAUUUCUGACGCUGAGGCUCGAAAGCGUGGGGAGCAAACAGG